rnacentral:rRNA from 1 species
GGACUACAGGGGUAUCUAAUCCCGUUUGCUCCCCACGCUUUCGCGCCUCAGCGUCAGUUCCGGCCCAGGUGGCCGCCUUCGCCACCGGUGUUCCUCCCAAUAUCUACGCAUUUCACCGCUACACUGGGAAUUCCACCACCCUCUUCCGGACUCCAGCCCGACAGUAUCUCCCGCAGGUCCUCAGUUAAGCCGAGGGAUUUCACGAGAGACUUGACAGGCCGCCUACGCGCCCUUUACGCCCAAUAAUUCCGAAUAACGCUUGCCCCCUCUGUAUUACCGCGGCUGCUGGCAC